UCAGAGCUGCCGCUACUGAGAGUGAAACUGAGUAUCUGCUCAGCUUCUGGAGCAAGUGAGAGCUAUGCAGACUAAAUCGUCUUGAUGAUGGGAACUCCUGUGAUCCUCAAGAUAAUCUUGACUGAUUGCAGCUCUCAGAGGCUGACUCUCCCUCAUGGACUCCCUGUAUCAGUUGAUGACCUCAAAGAUGAAGUCAAGAAACAGUGUGGACUUGGGGGCAAUUUCCGACUGCAGUUUAUGGACUCCUUGUUUGGAAAUGAAUUCCUUAACCUUACAUCAAUGACUGAAGUAGUGGAAAAAAGGUACUCUGAGAGUCUGUGAUGUGUCAAGGCCCACCGCUAUUCUGAAUGACCAUGAGAGGUCUGCUGUUGCAGUCCUAAAUCCCCAGAUGUAUUACGCUCUAAAUGACUCCUCGUCCCUGUCCAGCGGAUAUGUGGAUACAGAUGUACAGUCAAUUGAGUCUACGAGCACACGAUCAUCUUGGCCUGCUGUUUUUCAUGUGCCCAAGUUCUCCUACGAUGUAGAAUUAAAACUUCAGCAGGAGGGCUUAACUUAUGUUCAAAAUGGCACUGUGCCAGAGCCGAAGUUGAAGUCAGCCAUCCUUGAUCGUUUAGUGCAGGAAAUAGUGAAGUAUAAAGUCUAUGUCACUGAUAAGGAGAUGGAAGAGUUGGCACAAAGUCUUAUCAAAACACAUCCGUGUUCAUCUGAGAAGGGGUCCUGCACUGGAUGUGGCGGAUGGAAGACCAGUUUAAAGUAUAAACUAUCCAACUACCGCACACACCUGAGAAAACUGGGCUGUCCAGAAGUGACAGUGAACUCCUUAAAAAACAAACCUGUGGGAAAGAAAAGUGCAGCUUUUGGCGUCAAAAAGGCAAAGAGAGCCGAGGUGAAUUUUUGCCCAACAUACCCAAUUGCAGAAACUGAGGAGAGUCUGGAAGCUAUGCAGAGAGCUCUACUUUUAGAUGCAAAGAAGAGGAACAACAGAGACAUUGUGAAACUCAAGAUGGAAAAGACCUUUGCACUCAGAAGACAUGAAGUUGUUCGUGAGGGUCCAAUGGUGGAGGAUUUCAUGGCAAGGUGGCCUGCUCUGUUUGAAGUCUCUGAGAUCAACUCUGAAUUCAAGAGAAUCACGACCAAGCCACUACAAUAAAAAUUCUUGUCUCAGCUGGACCUCCACUCUGGCACCCUGAUGAAGCUGUUCCAAAAGCGAGGAGGACAGCUUGGGGGAAGGCUGGAAACAAUCAUUGUGCAAAUAGCUAAUUGUGAUGAUGUAGAUGCUGGACGCGAGUCUAUCAUCAAGGGACUAUGCAUCUACAUGGGGGAAGAUCCAAAAGACCUUGUGCGAGAAUAUGUGGACACAGAUGAAGGCGCCAUCAAGGACACGACUGUGGGGAUUUAUGUUCUUAAAGAUGCUUCCACUGAUGAACCGGAGGAUAUCGGGAUCGUUCUAGAAGGCGUCAAAGUCUUGACAAAUCUGGAUAAUGUAGCAUUAGCUUUUGUAAUGCUGUUCGGACUAAUGUACGCGCUGAAUAUCAGCUACCCUGCUGACCUCCGCUACACCUUUGAAGUAGUCCAAAGCAUUAUAAUGGAACUGGACUGCGGUAAGCUCUCAAACAAAGCAACUGCUCUGAAAAACAGGCUCCUUCAGUGAAACGGUUCAGAGACUGCUGCAUGCAAGAAACCCCAAACAAUUGAAUCUGUUCUUUUUUCUCUGUUAUGUUUUAGGAUUUGUUGUUACUUCGUUACAACUUGUGUUUUUAACCUGAGACCAUUUGAAAGACCAUUGCUGUCUUUAGUGCUUGUGUUUCAGACUCUAUUAUAAGAAACCUGUCAAUCCUGCAUGUGUCUGAAAUCUUUUAUCUAGCACCCCCCCCCUGCUGAGAAUUUAAGGAACUGUGCAACUGUUCAGCCUGUGCACUCUUAUUGUUCCUUCAUAUAUUUCUUCUAGACUGAUGCCACCACAGGUCAUUUUAUGUCACAAAUGUUCAGGUUAAAGCAUAGUUCCAUGCUUUAAUUAUUCAAUGUUCCAUGCUGCAGUGUUUUUCUAUAUUGCCUGUGCUGUAGCACCUCUUUUAAUUGUUUACAAAUAUAUAUAUUUUAUAAAUUCUAUUGUUACUGUGAAAAGGGUAAAACCCCGAAUUAAACCACAUAAUGGAGAACUAGUUUGAAUGUACUGAAGUGUGUGUAUAGUGGUAUUCUUGUUGCUUAUUUAAAGCUCAAUAAAGUGUUUUGAUACAGAA